GUGGAUUAGAUACCCUGGUAGUCCACGCCGUAAACGAUGUGAACUAGAUGCAGGUGGUGUUGAUCCCAUCUGUGUCGCAGCUAACGCAUUAAGUUCACCGCCUGGGGAGUACGGUCGCAAGAUUAAAACUCAAAGGAAUUGACGGGGGCCCGCACAAGCGGUGGAGUAUGUGGUUUAAUUCGAUGCAACGCGAAGAACCUUACCUGGUCUUGACAUCCCGGAGAUCUCCAGGAAACUGGGGAGUGCUUCCAUUAGGAAGAAUCUGGAGACAGGUGCUGCACGGCCGUCGCCAACU
rnacentral:rRNA from 1 species